AUAAGCACGCUCUGUAGGUAGCUCGGCUGGGCUCGGCGGAUCCUGCUGUCAGGGUCGCCGUGCCAGCCGGGCUCGGGAGCGCCGUGCUGCUGUUGUGCGGUCGCUGGGCUGGUGGGUGUCCUGCCGGGGGGACAGCGCGGCCCUGCGAGAGGAGCUGCCGUGUGGUUCCCAGCGUCCUGUCCGGCACCGGGGCUGCAGCUUAGGAGGAGGAGCUCGGCUCUGUUCGUGCUGCCGCUCGGAACACAACUGGAAGAACUUCCUUUUAUCUAGAUUGCUCAGCUGAACACACGGUCAUUCAGACGUACAAGACAGUGAUGUACAGUUCCUCUUUGUCUGCAGGAACAUAAAUUCGGAUCCCUUUCCUGGCUAAGAAAAUGCCCUGAUUGCCACCAGUCAGUUGUCCUGGAGACCUAGGUGCUAGCAUGUCUACUCUUCGUGUUUCACAGAGAAUGAAUGACUGCAGGCUUCAUUUAGUAGCAAAGGCUUAGGCAGAUGUAUUUUCUAUAAAAUAUGGUCCUAACUUGCUUAUUCCAACAAACAGAUAAAGCGCAUGUAACUGUGACAAGAUAUUCAGAAAACAGUGUCUUCAUGCCUAAUGAGACGCUCACCUGGUUUUUACUGCCCCAUUAACAAAACCAAUACCUUAUUACAUUGUACAUGGCCUGGAUGUCAACAGUCUAUCCAUCCCUACCAUAGAAGUGUUUAACUACUCCCCGCUUAAUAAACAUGUUGCCAUUACUGGCUUUUGUCAGGA